GACGAACGCUGGCGGCGUGCCUAAUACAUGCAAGUUGAGCGCUGAAGGUUGGUACUUGUACCGACUGGAUGAGCAGCGAACGGGUGAGUAACGCGUGGGGAAUCUGCCUUUGAGCGGGGGACAACAUUUGGAAACGAAUGCUAAUACCGCAUAAAAACUUUAAACACAAGUUUUAAGUUUGAAAGAUGCAAUAGCAUCACUCAAAGAUGAUCCCGCGUUGUAUUAGCUAGUUGGUGAGGUAAAGGCUCACCAAGGCGAUGAUACAUAGCCGACCUGAGAGGGUGAUCGGCCACAUUGGGACUGAGACACGGCCCAAACUCCUACGGGAGGCAGCAGUAGGGAAUCUUCGGCAAUGGACGAAAGUCUGACCGAGCAACGCCGCGUGAGUGAAGAAGGUUUUCGGAUCGUAAAACUCUGUUGGUAGAGAAGAACGUUGGUGAGAGUGGAAAGCUCAUCAAGUGACGGUAACUCCCCAGAAAGGGACGGCUAACUACGUG
rnacentral:rRNA from 1 species